GGUGACACAGUGACAGAGGGAGGGGGUGACUGGUGACAGAGUGAGGGAGGGGAUGACUAGUGACAGAGUUAGGAAGGGAGUGACUAGUGACAGAGUGGGAGGGAGUGACUAGUGACAGAGGGAGGGAUGGGGUGACUAGUGACAUCACCAUCUCCCUCCCUCUGUCACUAGUCACCCCCUCCCUCAUUCUGUCACUAGUCACCCCCUCCCUCACUAGUCACCCCCCCUCACUCUGUCACUGGUCACCCAUUCCCUCCCUCACUCUGUCACUAAUCAUCCCCUCACUCUGUCACUAGUCACCCUCUCCCUCACUCUGUCACUAAUCAUCCCCUCACUCU